GAUGAACGCUGGCGGCGUGCCUAAUACAUGCAAGUCGAGCGAACAGAUGAGGAGCUUGCUCCUCUGACUUUAACGGCGGACGGGUGAGUAACCCGUGGAUAACCUACCUAUAAGACUGGGAUUACUUCGGGCAACCUGAGCUAAUACCGUAUAAUAUAUUGAACCGCAUUCUUCAAUAGUGAAAUACGGUUUUGCUGUCACUUAUAGAUUGAUCCCCGCCGCAUUAGCUAGUUGGUAAUGUAACGGCUUACCAAUGCAACGAUGCGUAGCCGACCUGCCAGGGUGCUCCGCUACACUCGGACUGAGCCACGGUUCAGACUCUUACGGGAGGCCGAAGCAGGGAAUCUCCCGCAAUAGGCGAAAGCAUGCCGGAGCAACGCCGCGUGAUUCAUGAAGUGCUUAGGAUCGUAGAACUCUGUUACCAGGGAAGAACAAACGUGCAAGCAAAUAUGAACGCCUUGACGGUACCUAACAAGAAAGGCACGGCUACCUACGUG
rnacentral:rRNA from 1 species